rnacentral:rRNA from 1 species
GACGAACGCUGGCGGCGUGCCUAAUACAUGCAAGUCGAGCGCAGGAAGCCGUCUGAACCCUUCGGGGGGACGACGGUGGAAUGAGCGGCGGACGGGUGAGUAACACGUAAAGAACCUGCCCAUAGGUCUGGGAUAACCACGAGAAAUCGGGGCUAAUACCGGAUGUGUCAUCGGACCGCAUGGUCCGCUGCUGAAAGGCGCUUCGGCGUCGCCCAUGGAUGGCUUUGCGGUGCAUUAGCUAGUUGGUGGGGUAACGGCCCACCAAGGCGACGAUGCAUAGCCGACCUGAGAGGGUGAUCGGCCACACUGGGACUGAGACACGGCCCAGACUCCUACGGGAGGCAGCAGUAGGGAAUCUUCCACAAUGGACGAAAGUCUGAUGGAGCAACGCCGCGUGAACGAUGAAGGCUUUCGGGUCGUAAAGUUCUGUUGUAAGGGAAGAACAAGUGCCGCAGGCAAUGGCGGCACCUUGACGGUACCUUGCGAGAAAGCCACGGCUAACUACGUGCCAGCAGCCGCGGUAA